UACGGAGGGGGCAAGCGUUGUUCGGAAUCAUUGGGCGUAAAGGGCGCGUAGGUGGUUCUGUAUGUCUACCGUGAAAGCGUACGGCUCAACUGUAUUUUGUCGGUGGAAACUGCAGGACUUGAGGCUGGGAGGGGCUGGUGGAAUUCCCUGUGUAGCGGUGAAAUGCGUAGAGAUGGGGGAGAACACUCGUGGCGAAGGCGGCCAGCUAGACCAGUUCUGACACUGAGGCGCGACAGCGUGGGGAGCAAACAGG
rnacentral:rRNA from 1 species